CCUACGGGAGGCAGCAGUGGGGAAUAUUGGACAAUGGGCGAAAGCCUGAUCCAGCAAUGCCGCGUGAGUGAUGAAGGCCUUAGGGUUGUAAAGCUCUUUUACCAGGGAUGAUAAUGACAGUACCUGGAGAAUAAGCUCCGGCUAACUCCGUGCCAGCAGCCGCGGUAAUACGGAGGGAGCUAGCGUUGUUCGGAAUUACUGGGCGUAAAGCGUGCGUAGGCGGUGAUUCAAGUCAGAGGUGAAAGCCUGGAGCUCAACUCCAGAACGGCCUUUGAAACUAGAUCGCUAGAAUUAUGGAGAGGUAAGUGGAAUUCCGAGUGUAGAGGUGAAAUUCGUAGAUAUUCGGAAGAACACCAGUGGCGAAGGCGACUUACUGGACAUAUAUUGACGCUGAGGUACGAAAGCGUGGGGAGCAAACAGGAUUAGAUACCCUGGUAGUCCACGCCGUAAACGAUGAUAACUAGACUGUUCGGGCUCUCAGAGCUUGAGUGGCGCAGCUAACGCAUUAAGUUAUCCGCCUGGGGAGUACGGUCGCAAGAUUAAAACUCAAAGGAAUUGACGG
rnacentral:rRNA from 1 species